GAUGAACGCUGGCGGCGUGCCUAAUACAUGCAAGUCGAGCGAACAGACGAGGAGCUUGCUCCUCUGACGUUAGCGGCGGACGGGUGAGUAACACGUGUAUAACCUACCUAUAAGACUGGGAUAACUUCGGGAAACCGGAGCUAAUACCGGAUAAUAUAUUGCACCGCAUGGUUCAAUAGUGAAAGACGGUUUUGCUGUCACUUAUAGAUGGAUCCGCGCCGCAUUAGCUAGUUGGUAAGGUAACGGCUUACCAAGGCAACGAUGCGUAGCCGACCUGAGAGGGUGAUCGGCCACACUGGAGCUGGGACACGGUCCAGACUCCUGAGGGAGGCAGCAGUAGGGAAUCUUCCGCAAUGGGCGAGAGCCUGACGGAGCAACGCCGCGUGAGUGAUGAAGGUCUUCGGAUCGUAAAACUCUGUUAUUAGGGAAGAACAAAUGUGUAAGUAACUAUGCACGUCUUGACGGUACCUAAUCAGAAAGCCACGGCUAACUACGUG
rnacentral:rRNA from 1 species